GAUAAGAAGUCAUCUCAUCUUGCAUUUGUUUUUGCUAACCUUUUUAGUUUUUAUAAUCUGGUUCAAUCCGUCUUUUUUUGGUUUGAUUAUAAUUUUAUAUUAAAUUCAAUGUGCUUUUUUAAUCUACUGUUUUUGCCCUGAAAACGCUAAUAAUCAACACAAUUCAAUUGAAAAUAUCUACUAACAUCUUUAUGUGAUCAAAAUGCUGGUUCAAAUUGUAAAGCCAACCAUUGUUGGGGAUUAAUUUUGGAAUGCUAAUUAUCUCACUUGUUUAUGGCUAAAGGUGAAGUUGUAAUAAAGCAAGUGGAGGUCAUAGGAUAAGCCGUCUUUUUUCAAGCUUUCAAUUAUGAAGUUUAUGUACUUGUUUCCUUAAAUUGAAUUGGUUCCUCGUUUAAUUGCUGUUAAAAAGACUCAUUGGUGGUCUCAUUUAAGAAAAGCCUAAAUUUUUGUUUUGUCACUGAUGAUGGAUAGAAACUGGGAAAAGCGAAAAAAAAGCUGAUGCUGUUUACUGAUGAAAUUACUGAAGAUGGUGAUGAUGUUGGGAAAGAAGAAGGCGGAGGAGGAGGAGGAGGAGGUGGAGAAGGUAGGAAAAGGAUGGGAGAGGUGUUCCACUUUCUCUCUUCUUAUUCCUUUUGUUAUCCAGUGCAAGGAAUUUGAGAAUGGAUUGCCUUUAGCCUUAUUUCCCUUUGCUUGUUGACCAUCAGUCUAAUCAUAUUAAAGAUUCAAAUUGCCGACAGAAUGGUUAAUCAACAAUUGAAACUGUUGACCAAACUUCCAUUGGUUAUUAUUAUUAAAGGAACCAGACAUCAAACAAACAAACAUCAUUAACAAUAUAACAACAACGGCAAAAACAGCAAUCUCAAUAGCUAACAGCAACAACAACAACUGUAAACAUCUUCGAACAACUGGAUAUUAUUUAUACAUUAUUCAAAGUGGCGGUUACUUGAAGAGUAACAUUUAACAUUCAUUUACCAUUAUUUAAA